ACACACACACACUACUCCUGGCCACAAGUUAGCAACUGAGGAAGCAUCUGAAUGGUGGUCCUUGUCUCUGUUACAAUCUGCUAUGUAAUAUCCAAAAAUUAUUAAUACUCAUAAUACUGACCCUGUUACUAUCAUUCAACAACAUCCCUUACCUUGCUUCAGAAAAAAAUGGCCCUGUAUUAUUAGAAACUAAAUAGCUACCAUACUAAAAUAUCUGUUAUAGAUAUAUAUCCUAAGAAAACUAAUGGGAAUUAUCUUCUUACUUUAUCCCAUUCAGGGCUGGCCCUGCCAAUGCUGUCCUACUGGGUCUCAUUGCUUUUAAAAAUUGGAAAGGGAACUUCUGAAGUAAUGAAGGGCCAACCAACCUGAUCUAGAAUACAGUACUUCCACAUUGUAUAUUUCUUUUAUUUUCUUUAUAACAUUGUUCUCCUGUCCUUUCUUAAAGGAGUUCAGCAUAGGUUCCAUGAUUUUCCUUUCAAUCCAUGUUGUCUUCAUACAAGCUUUGUGAGAGAUGAGGCUGAAUGAUACUGAUUGGCCCAAAGUUCCCCUAUUGAACCUCAUGGCUCAGAGACGAUCUCGGUGACCAUGUUCUUGGUCCUUCAUGGGACUGACGGGAGGCUUCUUCCUUCCUUUCCCAGCCUCAUCAGCAUUUAAAUCACUCCUGCAAGUAGGACCUUUAAAUGUUGGAUAGAGUUUGGUGCUCGGUGUGGCACAAUCCUUUUCAGAGACUGGAAUUUAAUACUUUCAAAUCCAGGCAUAACAAGGAAGAGGAUAAAGUCCAUUUGAGAAAAGUGAUGUCAAGCACUUAGAGGCCACCUGUAAACAUCACUAGUUUAUUAAGCAAACAGUCCUUGAUGCUGGCCACAGUACAAGUUUACCAUUAUCAGUUAAUGAUUACACAUUCCUAUCAGUGUGUAAUCUGUGGCCUUUGAACGUCUUUUAUUUUUCUUGGAAAAAGAAAAAGGAAAAAUUAAUCCUGGGUUGUUCUUCAUAGCACCAGUACUGAUUUAUACAGGAAAUGGUCCGACAAGUAAAACUGCAGCUGUGAAAUCAUGGGAGAUCCAGAUUCAAAUCCAUCUUCAGCUAUGGAAAUUCACUGAGUGAUUUUGGGCCACUCACCAUUGCUCAGCCCAAAUUACCCGAAGGAUUUGUAGUGAAUAUAAAAGUGAAGGGAUGCUUUAUAUCCUCUCUUAAAUUCUAAAAAUUAAGAUGGGAUAUCUCAUCUCUCAUUAUUGUUAUUAUUAUUACCACCCAGAAGAAGAGGAAGAGAUUGUAUGGUCAAUAAUAUGCUUGAUGACUGUAUUGUACUGAUGGGGGAAUUAAAGCUUGAAAUGAGACAACUGUAUGUACAACAUACAAACAGUC